rnacentral:lncRNA from 1 species
UGACAGAUGAGACUUUUGUGCAAGAAAAUAAAUCCUGCACCUUUGAUGUGCUGCUUUAAACUUAAAGACCACUUUGGACCUGAAAUUGUAAGGAUUCUAUAAACCUGGAGAUUACUUAUAAAACAGAACAUCAGGGGCAAAAAGUAUUGUAGAACAAAACUGAAAACUUCAAGGAUCUUGAUGGUGUACCAAACCAGAUGUCAACUGGAGCUCGACCAAAAACUAAGGUAAGGAGCUUUAUUACAAA